ensembl:lncRNA
AAAACGGAGCGAUUUCUCAUACACAAAGAAUCUUUUUGGAAAAACUGAACAUUUGCUAUCUAACUGAGUCUCCUCAUUGAAAACAACCGAAGUUCUUCAAAGACACACAUCUGACAGGAGAACGUGGCCCGGAGCUGGGGGGGCCCAGAGGCAGACAGAGGAUUGUCAGCAGAGUCCCAUUUCUCCCGUGCCACGUCCGUCUCUUCCGGAUGCACAUCUCUAUCCCUUGCUCUCCACUUUGAAAAUGACCAUUUCCACUUGCUUCUACUGAAGGUAAUUGUUCAAUAAAAACAAGGUUAAAAUGAUCAUGAAUAAUUCUG